GCCCCAGUGGCCUAAUGGAUAAGGCGUCGGCCUCCUAAGCCGAAGAUUGUGGGUUCGAGUCCCAUUUGGGGUA